CGUAGGGGGCAAGCGUUAUCCGGAAUUAUUGGGCGUAAAGAGUGCGUAGGUGGUUUUAUAAGCGCGAGGUGAAAGGCAAUGGCUCAACUAUUGUAAGCCUUGCGAACUGUAAGACUUGAGUGCAGGAGAGGAAAGUGGAAUUCCUAGUGUAGCGGUGAAAUGCGUAGAUAUUAGGAGGAACACCAGUGGCGAAGGCGACUUUCUGGACUGUAACUGACACUGAGGCACGAAAGCGUGGGGGAGCAAACAGGAUUAGAUACCCUGGUAGUCCACGCCGUAAACGAUGGGCACUAGGUGUCGGGGCCGCAAGGUUUCGGUGCCGCAGUUAACGCAUUAAGUGCUCCGCCUGGGGAGUACGCACGCAAGUGUG
rnacentral:rRNA from 1 species